UUAAAAUUCCCUCUUUUUUUUUUUUCCCCAAUUAUUCUUCCUCUUUCCCAAUCUCGCCAAUCCCUUGCUCCUCUCCCUCUUUCUUAUGUCUGCCCAUUACCACAGUUUGCCCCGCUUUGAUUUCAAUUGGGAAUUUAUAAGUCACCAUUUAGACUACAUCUUUGAUUUUUACAGUUAUCGUGUUCGCCGUCUUUCUCUAAAAACCCUAGCUACUCCUGCCCAAUUUUAUUUCCCUUGCUCUCUUUUACACAACCCUCUCGAUUCUAAAUCCUCCUUUCGACAACCCGCAAUCAACCAGAGAUUAUUGGACUGUAAGCUGUUGGGAGAGACAAAAAGAGGGCGAGAGUUGUAGGGUUCGAUGGCCGGUGGCUCUGAUGCGGCGGAAGCAACUACCUUAUCCUGUGUUCAAUGCGGGAAGCCUGUGCAUCUUCAGUGCCCAAAGUGCAUGGAAUUAAAGCUUCCUCAAGAAGGUGCCGCUUUUAGGAUCUGCUCUUGUGCAUUGAGAAAAGAAAUUCAGGGAGACAUUGGCAAAGAUUGAUCUAGGAAGUGUCUCUCAAUAAUUGAUAAUAUGUUGUCUUUCUUUUAUGUUAGUUCAUGUCAUACGCAGCAAGUUUAAGGUGUUUGAUCAAAGCUCCAAUGUUGUAUUUGUACAUGUUCCCUUCAAUAUUAGAGAGAGAGAGAGAGAGAGAGAUCAGUUUAUGAUUAAGAGGGAGUAUUUGUCUUUCGCUGCUAUUGGUAUUGGUCUAAGAUUUGAGUAGUUUGAUGAUAUAAUUUGGCUUUUUUGUUGUUCUUUUUAUGAAGAUCUUAUUUUCUGUUGA